GGGAGGGCCGGGGAUGGUUUCUGGGGGCGGCUGCGGGGGUACGGAGGCGGAGGAGCGGUACCCCGUGGUUCUGCCUUCGCCCCUCGGCUCGGGGAGGGCCGCGGGAGGGAGGAGGGAGCUGCGGAGCGGGGCAGAGGCAUUCCUGCCGCCGCCCCGGGAGCCGAGGCAUCGGAGAAACGGGCAUUUAUAGGUGACGUACGGGCUUACGUGGGAGCUCGUGCCCAGCACCGCUCUCCCAGCGCCGUUUCUACUGACACGACACCUUCCCGCAGCGCGCACCCCCCUUUUCCAGGCUGGGGGGGGGGGGGGAGGGUUGGGGGGGAGCGGGAGGGGACAGCAAAAGGGAAAAGAAAAGCGGCCCUUUCGUAUCCCGCUCGGGAGACGAGCCCCGGAGCUCCGAAAGUGAGCGGAGGGCGAUGGAGGGCGGCGGGGAGCGGGCCGGGACGCGUCCCCGUGCUCCGAGAGCGGGGCGAAGCGGCGGGGGAGGCGGGCAGCGCAGGAACGCGCCCGGGGACCGCAGCGCCUUCAGCUCCCGGAGCCGCGGGCACCGCUCGGGUGAAUCGGGGAUGAAACGUGGGAGAAAUGCGGGAGGGGAGGCGAGAAAAGGUCGGGAGCGAAGUGAGGCUGUGAGAGCGGAGGGGGAUUUGUGAAAUAGAUAGAUAUGUGGAUAAUCAUUUUUCUCUUUCCUCGCUCUGCAAAAGCUGCAGGCGAAACGCUAAAUGUAUAAUUGUGUAAAGGGGAAUAUAAGGAUGAGAAAAAUGGAGGGGGAGCGGAGGAAGGAAGAGAGGGAAGGAGAGAAAGGCACGCGGCACCGCCGUGCUCGUGUCCUGAGUUCGGCCGGAGCUCACGGGCGGGAUGCUGCGGGCACAGCACGGCACGGCCCGGCCUGACCGUCGGGGCGGCACGGACGGCACGGCCCGGUAUCGCACGGCCCGGCCCGGCCCGCUGGAGGGACCCUCUGCCUCUUUCUCCCUUUCUGCCGCCUCCCCCCACGGAAAGCUCGUGGUUCUGCUCUGCCCGACGGCUGCGGUGCCGCACCGCACCGUGCCGUGACGAGCUGUGCUGUGCUGUGCUGGGCUGGGCUGUGCUGGGCUAUGCUGGGCUGUGCUGUGCUGCGCUGGGCUGUGCUGGGCUAUGUUGGGCUGUGCUGUGCUGGGCUGGGCUGUGCUGUGCUGUGCCGGGCCGUGCAGUGCCGUGCAGUGCCGGGCCGUGCCGUGCCGCUCCGGGGAGCCUCGCGGACUUUCAGCACUUGGACAGCGGUGCGGGAGCCGGGCCGUGCCGGGCUGUGCCGGGAGGGUCGGGGGGAGCGCGCGCAGUGAUGCUCCGUACGGCGGAGGCAAUGGGGAGGCGGCGUUCCUUCCUGAACGCCGGGCGUGGGGACACGGCCGAGGGGGCUCCGGGGAGCACCCCUGGAGGGGUACCUCGCCCCGACCCCCCCGCAGCUGGAAGAAAGCUCCGGGAGGCGCAGCCGUGCCCCGGCGGUGCGCCGCGGCCCCGCAGAGGGCACGGGGCCCCGAGGGGGCGGCAGAGGGCGGCUCGAUGGGGUGUGGGGGGAGAGCCCCCUUUCCCCCAUCUUCGGGGGGUAAUUAGGGGUGACACGGAGGGGCUGCGGUUUCUGCUCGGUGGAGCUGCCGGCGACCAACCCCCGCCGCCGCCGCCUUCCUCCCGUCCUCCUCCUCUCACCCUCCCUCCUUCCCUCCCCCCGCCUUCUCCCCUCCCCCUCUCCCUCCUCCUCCUCUCCGCCAUGGUUGGAGUGAAUCGGAGGCUGCCGGGCUGACGUCAGUGCGGGCAGAGCCUGCCGCCGGCGGCAGCUCCUGGACACCGACCAGAACCGGCACCGGCAGCAGCCGGCAGGACGCGAAGAGCCCGGGCACCGCCGCCCCCCGCACCGGGGGUACCGGGGGCGCCGGGGGCAGAGCCCUGCCCGCCCCGCCGCUCUCCCUCCGGGAAGGGCGGCCCCCGCCGCCCGCUUCGCCCACGGACGGCCCCGUCGCUGCCCUCGCCUCGGCUGCAAGCAGCUGACUGCGAGUUCGUGGAGCGGGAUGCCUUGGGAAGGGAUGGGACAUCUCCACCUGAGCGAGGAGAGGCCCCUGGAGCAGAACGGAGGUGUAAUGCUGAGGAGCUGCAGGGCAGAGCACAGCUUUGGUCACUUUGGAGUUGGAGAUCUUGAGCCGGGGAGGAGAUCCCAGUGAGGGGAGAAGGGAUGUCCCCAGCCUGACAGCUCCUUCCUGGCUGCGCUCUGCCCGCUCUCUGCCCGAUGUCUCCGGGAUUCUCCAGGAGGGACCCAACCUGCCGUGGCCCCAGCAAGAGGCAGCAUUGGCUGCUGGACGUGGAGGGGUUCUGCAUUGCUUCGCACCUGUGGGGAGGGAGCCAGGGGAUGGGGAGCCUGGCAAAAAUCCCGUGUAACUCCUGUAUGUCACCUCCAGGACCCAAAUACCCCUGGGCAGAGAGGUGUGAGCACCGUCCCAGCUGGGUGUGGGGAUGUUGGUGGGAGCAGGAGGGAGGUCUGAGUGGGAUGGAUGCCAUGUUAAGGGGCUCUGCUCAUGGAGCAGAGCUUGGCCUACGCUGUGCGUGUGUGCGUGAUGGACUGAGCGUGGGCUGACCACGCCUGGUCCAGGCGGUGUUCCAUUGCACUGUAAGAAAAAAGCACUGUAAUUCCUCCCUAAUUAAAAUCAACCCCACCCCGUGCACUGUUGCAAAUAAACACUCCUUUCUGCAAAAGCGAGCUGUGUGAUGUGGUGCAGUACUGAGACGGAG
rnacentral:lncRNA from 1 species